rnacentral:lncRNA from 1 species
CUUAUAGAGAAUCUUGGAUAACUGAUUUGUGGUUUCAUGUUUCUAAAUUGGCAUGACUGACUAUAUGAGAAGUUAUGUCCUUCCAAGAAAAGGACUUACAGUCAACAAGAUUCCUUGUUUGCUAACCCGUUAUUGGCUGCUACCCUUGAAUCUCUCUAUUUGUCAACAACAAAAAAAGAGGUUAAAUAUUGUGAUCAUGCUAUCAUAAUUAUGUUGCCUAUAAGACCAAAUGUGGGGCAUCUGGUUAUCCCUCCGAAAUAAGGCAAUGACCACACGUUCAACGCGGAUGUCAUCGAACUUGACUCAUUCCAUCUUCUGGAUUGCUUAGGAAAGCUGAUUGGUGUUACCUGU